rnacentral:rRNA from 1 species
UACGGGGGGUGCAAGCGUUGCUCGGAAUCACUGGGCGUAAAGCGUCCGCAGGCGGAACUGUGUGUCGGUGGUGAAAUCCCAGGGCUCAACCCUGGAACUGCCAUCGAAACUGCAGUUCUCGAGUACGGGAGAGGAGGGCGGAAUUCCUGGUGUAGAGGUGAAAUUCGUAGAUAUCAGGAGGAACACCUGUGGCGAAAGCGGCCCUCUGGCCCGAUACUGACGCUCAUGGACGAGAGCGUGGGGAGCAAAC